AGCCAGACUCCUACGGGAGGCAGCAGUGGGGGAUAUUGCACAAUGGGGGGAACCCUGAUGCAGCGACGCCGCGUGGGCGAGGGAGCGCCUCGGCGCGUAAAGCCCUUUCGGCGGGGGAGAACGAUGACGGUACCUCUUGAAUAAGCCACGGCUAACUCCGUGCCAGCAGCCGCGGUAAUACGGAGGAUGCGAGCGUUAUCCGGAUUUAUUGGGUUUAAAGGGUGCGUAGGCGGGCUUUUAAGUCAGCGGUAAAAAUUCGGGGCUCAACCCCGUCCGGCCGUUGAAACUGGGGGCCUUGAGUGGGCGAGAAGAAGGCGGAAUGCGUGGUGUAGCGGUGAAAUGCAUAGAUAUCACGCAGAACCCCGAUUGCGAAGGCAGCCUUCCGGCGCCCUACUGACGCUGAGGCACGAAAGUGCGGGGAUCGAACAGGAUUAGAUACCCUCGUACGC
rnacentral:rRNA from 1 species